AGCCGCCGGCCCUCCUGCCCACCUCCAGCCCAGCGCCGGCGCCGGUGGUCACCGCUCCAUGGCUCCAUGUCCGCCCCGCGCCUCCGCGGCCUCCUCCUCCAUCGCAUCCCGCACGACUGCCGGCUCUCCCGCAGGAUCGGAUCCCGCCCACCUCCACCUCAGCGCCGGUGCUCACCGCGCCAUGGCCGCCCCGCGCCUCCACCACCUGCUUCUCUGCUGGACCGAAUCCUGCCGCCGACCAGCGCCAAUGCUCACCGCGCCAUGGCCGCCCCCCUCGCUUGCUCGCGCCACCCAUCCACCACCGUGCUGCCCGCUGUUGGCCAUCUGUUUCGGCCGACCGGCGGCCGCCGGUACGACGUCUUCUUGGCGCUGGGACGCGGACUGGGCGCUGUUCCGUUGCCGCUGCCCCAGGUCGUCGAGGAACAAUACUGUUAGGCUGGGCGAACCCCCUUCCUCUGCUCCAAGCCUCCAGGUGCAGUUGGGAUGCAGGCCAUCCGCCCUUUGUCCACUGGUGUCGUUGCUCUGCUCCGCCCUCUGGCCACCAUCGAUGUUCCUCUGCUCCACUGCCGUCAUCAUUUGCCAGGAACCCGGUUUUAUCCACGUCUUCCCCAGGUCAACACAGCCGCAUUUAGUUCACUGCUUCUGACUAAGCUUCUCGAUGUGGAGGUGAUGUAAUCCCGUUGUUCUUCAGUGGUUUUUAGCUUGCUGACACCAAAUGGCCCACACUUUUAUCUUUUGAAUUAAACUGUUCAACUAAAAAGCAAAUAAACCCUUCGGCUGUAGGCCAUUGACGAUUGACUAUUCACUUCCUCUCCCCACGAUCUCCACAAGUAACUGACUUAUUGAUCUCCACAAGUAACUGACUUAUUCCCAUUUAAAUUGUGUGCUCCACAAUCCAUUUCAUUCCCAUCGUCCUCCAUAGUAGUCAUACAGCUACCCCUGGUGAGCAAAUCUCUCCCCCGUCCGCAUGCACAUUCCCUGUGACAUUUUUGCUGAUUCAUCACAGCUUUGGACUUCCUCAGGUACUGGACAAAAUUGGACACCCAGCUUCCCAUCUUGGUUGUUCUUCCCCUGCUGCAUACCCAGACACCUUGGAUUGACGGCUCCUCUAGACUUGCCGACAUGGAUAGGGCAGAAAGCUCUUCGCAUAAUUCAGUUGGACGAAAACGUCAUCCAUCAUUACCUAAUCCUCCUCCUUGAGUAAACCCAUAUGUUGCUGCCCAGAACAGACGUGUGCGUCUGGAACUCAUGGUUCAAAAAGGAAAAAGAGCAACAACCUCUAGAGGAAAACAAACAUCAGAACAACCUGCAAAUGAAGAAUCAUCCACAUCGACGUCACACAUAGAAAAUCCGGUCUUUGCCCAUAACCGAACUAUAUUUCAACCCUUAAACCUUGGAGGUCCCCAUCAUUCUUGCAAACACUGUGGUGCUCUGUUUUGGUAUGAAGAGCGUCUACGCAGAGAAAGACACACUCCAGAUCCAACAUAUAAUUUGUGUUGCAAGGGAGGAAAAGUUUACCUGCAGCCAUAUGAUCCUCCUGCUCAACCUCUUGGAUUUACUCACAUCCCAGGACAGAACGCUCUCCAGUCACUUCUUUAAACAUAUUAGGCAGUACAAUACGAUGUUUGCAAUGACUUCAAUGGGAGCUAAAAUUAAUGAA